GGAGCUGUGGUGUAGAGCGCCUAACAUGCCUGCCUGUCACGCAGGAGACCGCGGGUUCGAAUCCCGUCAGCUCCG
rnacentral:tRNA from 1 species